UACGUAGGCAGCAAGCGUUGUUCGGAGUUACUGGGCGUAAAGGGUGUGUAGGCGGUUCUCUAAGUUUGGUGUGAAAUCUCCCGGCUCAACUGGGAGGGUGCGCCGAAAACUGGAGAGCUAGAGUACUGGAUGGGAGAGUGGAAUUCCUGGUGUAGCGGUGAAAUGCGUAGAUGUCAGGAGGAACACCGGUGGUGUAGACGGCUCUCUGGACAGUAACUGACGCUGAGACACGAAAGCGUGGGUAGCAAACAGG
rnacentral:rRNA from 1 species